rnacentral:ncRNA from 18 species
AUAGAUUUGGGGAAUGAAGUGCUCCCUUGUUAUUAACUAAAACGCAAAAAUUUUGCUGAUGACUUCUGUUUUUUA